rnacentral:rRNA from 1 species
UCUGGCGGCUGUAGCGCGGUGGUCCCACCUGACCCCAUGCCGAACUCAGAAGUGAAACGCCGUAGCGCCGAUGGUAGUGGUAGGGAACUGCCAGAC